rnacentral:rRNA from 1 species
AUGCGUAGGCUUUUUAGAAAGUCUGUUGUCAAAGCCCGGGGCUCAACCCCGGAAAGGCAAUGGAAACUCCUAAAAUCGAGGCAGAGAGGGGCGAAUGGAAUUCCCGGUGGAGUGGUGAAAUACGUUGAUAUCGGGAGGAACACCAGAGGCGUAGGCGAUUCGCUGGCUCUGUUCUGACGCUAAGGCUCGAAAGCGUGGGUAGCAAAAC